CGGGGAGGGGCGGGCACGGUGCAGCGCCGCCUCCCGUUCGCCUCUGCGCCUGGCCCGGCGACUGCGGGCGCUGCGGUCCACUGGGUCCGCCUCUUCCCGGCAUGGGUUUCUGCCCAGCUCACCCGCUGUCAGCUGGGGUCCUGCUCUGGUGGGAGGAAGAGGCUCAGACGCUUCCCUGCCCUCUCGCCUCAACCACCUCGAGGCAGCGGCUCCCAGGAUGUGCACUUUGACGACUAAAGCUGAGCCGGCGCCGCCACGACCUUGGGCGGGUGGUCGGCCUCUGCCCUGAGCAGGAAGUAGAAAGUCUCAGCAGACCCUUCCUGAGGGCCGAGCAACAGUGUAGUGGCGUAUUCCACAUAGCAAACAGAUGUACACUAGAUUUUGAUGGCAUUUUUCCAGGGACCCUGGGAGCAUCUGUGUUCUCGUGUUCUUCUUGCCUGUGAGGCCUCUUCUCUCUGAGGACAGAUGGUAGGACAGAGAGAAGACAGCAAAUGGAAAACAAAGGCUGCUAUUUUUUUGUGGGGUGUGUACAAUAUCUAUUCUACAUCUCUGCCCAUCCCCAUUUUCUCCUCCUCCAGAGAGCAUACAAUUAAGGCUAUAAACUGAAGUGGAGCCCCCAUUAUUUACCCCUAAAAAUGAAUACAGAUCUCAGCCUCUCAUUACCCCUUGGUUAGAAAGAGAGAGCAUUUUGGUCUGUUUGGGCGACUAUAACAAACAUACCUUAAACUGGGUGGCUUUUAAACAACAGAAAUUUGUUGCUCACAGUUCUGAAGACUGGUAAGUUCAAGAUCAAAGCACCAGCAGAUUUGGUGUCUGGUGAGGGCCCACUUCCUGGAUCAUAGAUGAUGCCUUCUUGCUGUGUCCUCACAUAGUAGAAGGGCAAGGCAGCUCUCUGGACCCCUUUCUUUCCUUUUCUUUUCUUUUCUUUUUUCUUUUCUUUUCUUCUCUUUCCAUUAAUCCGGUCCAUGAGGGCUCCAUCCUUAUAACCUAAUCACUUCUCAAAGGUCCCAUCUCCUAAUACUAUCGAGUUGGUAAUUAGGAUUCAACAUAUUAAUCUGUGGAGGAAGGGGACACAAAAAUUCAGACCAUAGCUGGUAGUGAUGAAGAUAGAAUGAGCCAGGUCCCAAUGUGGGGCCAGGUGUGAGGGGGGCAGUAGCUGGUCAUGGACAUGUGGAUGUUUGCUGAGUGAUGGGUGAGCAAGUCCCUGCCAUCUCAUAGGGACACUGUAAAAACUGCCCUCUUGAUGACCUUAGCAGUGCAAUCAUAUUAGCAAUGACAUCCACCUUGAGGAGGGAAAAGAUGGGUGUGAACAAGAAGGAUAGUUUCUUUCUCCUUACAGCAUCCAUUAUGUAGCAUAAAAAUUAGGGCCCCCAUGUAUCCAGGAAAGCAGUCAGAGCAUUCAUUAUUCAAUAACCAUAGGUGCUUAUUCCAUACUGUUAUGGACUGAAUCGUGUCACCUCCAAAUUCAUAUGUUGAAGCCCUAACUACCAAUAUGACUGUAUUUGGAGAUAACACCUUCAAGAAGGUAAUCAAGGUUAAAUGAGGUCAUAAGGAUUGGAUCCUAAGCUGAUAGGACUGGUGUCCUUAUAAAAAGAGACACUAGAGAUCUCUCUCUCUCUUUGUAUACACAGAGAAAAAGUCAUGUGAUGACACACCAAGAAGGUGGCUGUCUGCAAGCCAGGAAGAGAGGCCUUACCAGAAACCAAUCCUGGUGCACCUUAAUCUCAAACUUGAGCCUCCAGGACUGUACGAAAAUAAAUAUUUGUUGUGUAAGCACCCCCAGUGUAUGCUAUUCUGUUAUGGCAGCCCUAGCACACUAAUAUAAAUGCCUACUGCCUGCAAAGUGCUUUGCCUUUGAGGGUUGCAAAAGAGGAUCCCCUCCAGGGAUCCAUGGUCUCAUUGGGAUUUUCCUGUUUGGUCUGUGUCCUGUUCUUGAGUCUCCGCAGGCAGCAUUUCUUCCUGUGACAAUAUGGUGUAAGACAAAAUUGUGGCCUGCCAUGAAGUUGUGAGAGAAAAGCAUCCCUCAUUUCUUCAGGAAAGGCCACUGCCGUUCCCUCCGGCUCCUCUUCUCAGGAGUUUGUGCAUUCAUGAGGUGAAUUCCUUGGAAGAUGAGGGCCAAGUCUUAUUCUUCUCAGUCUCUUCUGCAUCUAGCAGAAGAAUAAUGGUUGCACAGAAAAUCUUGGUUCAGUGGUUGAGUGAAUGAAUGGAUGAACAGGCUCUUGCACACAAAGAAGAGACAUGAUGUAUUUGCAUCCUUCCCUGCUUCAGCCAGGUCCCCAGACAGUCCCGGUGUGCACACUUCCCUGCUUCUGUUCAUGAUGUUCUCUGAACCUGGGAUCACCUUUCCCCUUCCUCUUACCUGCCCGAUCCUACUUGUCCUCCCAGAUUCAGUUUUCUGAAGCUCAGAGGGACACCUUGUAUUGCUGGAUGAUAAAAACAGGAGCAAAGUGAUGAAGUGCUGACAAGGCAACAAUAGAACAUGAGAGAUUCACUGCUGUGUAGGAAGAGAUCUUCGGUGACCAUGUAGCCUGAAGCUCUCAUUUUGUCAUCGAGGGACACCAAAACUCAGAACAGCAGCAGCUCACGCUGCUGAUGCAACACAGGUGAAGAGCACCUUCCCCUCCCCCACCUGUGGGCUGAUUCCCACCACGUGGAUCCCAAGGCCAUCCCAGGAACUCUUUGGAGGGGAGAAGCCCAGUGGAAACUGUCAGGCCUCUGAGCACAAGCCAAGCCAUCGCAUCCCCUGUGACUUGCACGUAUAUGCCCAGAUGGCCUGAAGUAACUGAAGAAUCACAAAAGAAGUGAAAAGGCCCUGCCCCACCUUAACUGAUGACAUUCCACCAUUGUGAUUUGUUCCUGCCCCACCUUCACUGAGUGAUUAACCCUGUGAAUUUCCUUCUCCUGGCUCAGAAGCUCCCCCACUGAGCACCUUGUGACCCCCGCCCCUGCCCACCAGAGAACAACCCCCUUUGACUGUAAUUUUCCAUUACCUUCCCAAAUCCUAUAAAACGGCCCCACCCCUAUCUCCCUUCGCUGACUCUCUUUUCGGACUCAGCCCGCCUGCACCCAGGUGAAAUAAACAGCCAUGUUGCUCACA
rnacentral:lncRNA from 10 species